AGUGGGGAUAGUUCUGUGUAUACAGUGAUUAAGCACAUAGGUUCUGGAGCCAGUCUGUUUCUUUCAAAAUCACCUCAUUGCUUUUGAAGAAUCAGGGGAAACCCCCAUGAGACUACAGGUGUGAAGCAAGAUAGAAGCAUCAGUGCAAAAGAGAAAGCAAUAUGUCAAUUCCUCAAAGAGCUAAAAAAGAACUACCAUUGGACUCAGCAAUCCCAUUACUGGGUAUAUACUCAGAGGAAUAUAAGUCACUCUACUAUAAACACACACGCAUGCAAAUUUUCAUUGUAGCACUAUUUACAAUAGCAAAGACAUGGAAUCAACCUAAAUGCUCAUCAAUGACAGAUCGGAUAAAGAAAAUAUGCCCACCAGAUCCUUCCCCCAACACUGAGGAUUACAAUUCAACAUGAAAUUUACCGGGGGGACAAAGAGUCAAACGGUAUCAGCUUAGUACCUGGGCAUCUUCAACCUUUCUGGACUACAGCACCUGCCAACUGACCCCCACAUCAUGGCUCCAACGCUGGCUUCAUCACAUAUCUUCUCUCUCAGUCCCUUUGGCUCUCAGGGUGCAAUAGCUUAACAAAAUUGCUGAUCUAGGUGCCUCAGCAUUGUUUCUUUGUCAUAGUCUCUGUAUUAUCUUAUUUUGAGCCAUUCUUUUCCUGCAAAGAUCCUAACUGAAUGAGAUAACUACUUCAUAAGCUAUUUGUAAGGUUUAAAUAAAUUAAUGCAUAUUUAAUACAUGAA
rnacentral:lncRNA from 1 species